AUACGCAUGCGUGAAGAAGACAAGUGACACAAAUGAUGAGCAAGAGCGAUGGGAGGGAGAUGAAGCAUGAGAGAUCGAUCACGGUUUGAGGCUAGGUUCUGAGUGGAGGAACAAUGACUUUGGCUAUGUUGGAAAUAAGAGGAAGAUGCAUAGACGCUUUAAGUACAUGCAUACACGGUUUUGGUUCAAGAAAACAAGUGGUGGAGAUAAUUAAUUAAACCAAAAAGAAACCAGAUCGGUUUAGUAAAAAAAUAAUUAAUAGAAAAAGAAAAUCAGAACGGCUCCAGGAAUCCGGGUCGUUACCGCAAUCUUGCGCUCGCCCAACCAACCGUACUCUCCGGUC
rnacentral:lncRNA from 1 species